CCAUUACCAGUUUGUCCUUUACCCAGCUUGACACAACAUAUGGAUCAGCCAAAAAGCAGGAAUCCACUGUUUCCAAAAAAGUCACUCCUACCAAAAUCAUCUCUGGUAGGAUUCUCAGGGCAAACAUUGGAAGACUCUACCACACCUAUUCCCGCAGUGAUGAAUAGGGCAGAAGGAUUUGAGAGCUGAAGAAGCGCCAUCCCCUGCUCCAUGAAUCAGAGACAUCAGAGAGGUGAUGAGGUACAGGCCUGUACCAGAAGAAGCACGCAAAAGAUCCUGACCCAGUUGACCACCUGAAUGGACUUGUCCAUUUCCAUCAUGAAGAUGACAAAGAAGAUGAUGGCGGAGACCAUCUCACAGAUGGCCACCACAGAAUAACCUCCAUAAAAUGACGCAGCACAGCAGAUUAGGAUGAUAAGACUGAUGAGCUGAAAGAAAAUGAUAAAAAAAAUAAUAUGGGGGGAAGGAGAGAGAGAGAGAGAGAGAGGAAGAGGGAAAAAGCAGCCUGUGUGGAAAUACUUGGUGCAAAAAUGUUAAUAAAGGUACUUAGCAAAUGCCAAAUCUGUGGUACACAAAAAUAGCUUUUUGGCUCAAUGCAUCUGUAGCCUAAUUACUUGACCUUGAGAUGUUAAUCAUAGCAUUUCCUUUUAAGGAAAUCACUGCUACUUAUCCAGGAAUCCUUUGAGAACGUCUCGCUGUAGUUUACAACAAACUGACAAUUAGGUUCCAUGUAGAACCCUCUGUGGAAAGGGUUCUGCACAGAGCCCAAAAAGGGUUCUACAUGUAACCAAAAGGAAUCUGCCUGGAACCAAAAGAGAUUAUUCAAAGAGUUCUCCUAUGAGGACAGCCGAAGAACCCUUUUUGGUUCUAGAUCGCACCUUUUUUUAUAAGAGUUUAGGCAUUUACGCCAAUCAAAUCAAAAUCAAAUCAAACUAUUUGUCACCUGUGCCGAAUACAACAUGUGUAGACCUUACCGUGAAAUGCUUACUUACAAGCCCCUUAACCAACAGUGAAUAAAAAUUAUUCUUCCAGUUCGAAGCAGGUAAUCGCUGUUCUGAUGUCCAGAAGUUAUUUUCGGUCAUAAGAGAGGGUAGCAGCAACAUUAUGUACAACAUAAGUAAAAAAAUAACUUACAAACAACGUGAACAAACAAACAAAAUAGCACAAAGUCAGCCAUCCCCUCCAGCGCCAUUGUACUGUUCAGCAAUCAGUUUAGUAGUUUAUAUCACACUGACAAAGACCCCAGUGUUGGGGUUGAUAUUUUUUAUCCUAAAAUGUUUGGAUGUCUUUCUAUGAAACUGUAAUUUUUAAUGGUGAAACUGCCACGCCCGUUUGUGAUAGUACAAUAACAAAGAAGUUGCUGUAAACACUGUUUCUUCCAUUCCAGUGAAAUAAGGUCAGUGUAGCGAGUACAUACACUUGGAAAGCCCACAGUGUAGCACCAACACCAGCCUGAACUGAAUCCCUCUAUUGUAGCUGCUGUGGAGCUAUGCUUCUUGGUGGGUAAUUCAAAUACAAAGAUGACAAAGAUGUUCCUGAGUGAGAUGUUAAGGGAAGAUAUUGUAGUUUGUCAACUUUGCAUGCAAUUGCAAACCUACCAAUCGUUCAUUGAUUUGAUGCAUUCCAAAAAUAUUUAUUAAAAUUGGUUGUGUGAA